CAAAUCAUAACUUUUAGGAAGUAUUAUUAUUUACAUUAAUAAGUUAGUUGUGCAAUUCAACUUGGUUUGA
rnacentral:tRNA from 1 species